CAGCAGCCGCGGUAAUACGGAGGGGGCUAGCGUUGUUCGGAAUUACUGGGCGUAAAGCGCACGUAGGCGGCUUGGUAAGUUAGAGGUGAAAGCCCGGAGCUCAACUCCGGAAUUGCCUUUAAGACUGCCGAGCUAGCAGGUGAGAGAGGUAAGUGGAAUUCCGAGUGUAGAGGUGAAAUUCGUAGAUAUUCGGAAGAACACCAGUGGCGAAGGCGACUGACUGGACAAGUAUUGACGCUGAGGUGCGAAAGCGUGGGGAGCAAACAGGAUUAGAUACCCCUGUAGUCCCUGUCUCUUAUAA
rnacentral:rRNA from 1 species